CAUGCAAGUCGAACGGAACUGUUUUGAAAGAUUUCUUCGGAAUGAAUUUGAUUUAGUUUAGUGGCGGACGGGUGAGUAACGCGUGAGUAACCUGCCUUCAAGAGGGGGAUAACAUUCUGAAAAGAAUGCUAAUACCGCAUGACAUAUUGGAAUCACAUGAUUUUGAUAUCAAAGAUUUUAUCGCUUGAAGAUGGACUCGCGUCCGAUUAGUUAGUUGGUGAGGUAACGGCUCACCAAGACCGCGAUCGGUAGCCGGACUGAGAGGUUGAACGGCCACAUUGGGACUGAGACACGGCCCAGACUCCUACGGGAGGCAGCAGUGGGGGAUAUUGCGCAAUGGGGGCAACCCUGACGCAGCAACGCCGCGUGAAGGAUGAAGGUUUUCGGAUUGUAAACUUCUUUUAUUAAGGACGAAACUUGACGGUACUUAAUGAAUAAGCUCCGGCUAACUACGUGCCAGCAGCCGCGGUAAUACGUAGGGAGCAAGCGUUGUCCGGAUUUACUGGGUGUAAAGGGUGCGUAGGCGGCUUUGCAAGUCAGAUGUGAAAUCUAUGGGCUCAACCCAUAAACUGCAUUUGAAACUGUAGAGCUUGAGUGAAGUAGAGGCAGGCGGAAUUCCCCGUGUAGCGGUGAAAUGCGUAGAGAUGGGGAGGAACACCAGUGGCGAAGGCGGCCUGCUGGGCUUUAACUGACGCUGAGGCACGAAAGCGUGGGUAGCAAACAGGAUUAGAUACCCUGGUAGUCCACGCUGUAAACGAUGAUUACUAGG
rnacentral:rRNA from 1 species